UUUUUUUUUUUUUCCAUGACUAAAUAAAGCAAGCCAGGGAGUAUUUUCUGAGGCAGGGGGACGUUGACAGACCUUCAGCCAAGAGUGAGGUGGGUAAAAAAUUUUGAGAGAGAGGAACACUAGUAAAUAAAAGAAUUAUGAUUUUUGCAGUAACUCAAGCAAAAUAAGACAUCUGGGCAAAAAGAAGAAAUUGAUUUCAAUAAAGGUAACCAUAUAAAGCAGUUCCCACGGUGGCUCGGCAGUUUAUGCACCCAACUAGGAUCCACGAGGAUGUGGGUUCAACCCUAUUAAUUUGAUAUGUUUUGUAGCUCGAAAAUAGUUGAAUAAUGGUAAUUUCAUAUGGUUCAGCCUGAUAUAUGAUACCUAUCAUUGAAAACUAAUGAAAUAACUGUGAAAUAGAUGUCUAGGCAAAUGUCUCUAGGAGUAGAGAAAUUAAAAUGCAAAAAAAAAAAAAAAAAGAGAGAGAGAGAGAGAGAAUUCGCUCACUUUUUGGGGGAGGGGCUGCUGAGUCUGCAGCAUGCAGAAGUUCCCCGGGCCAGGCGUUAACCUCAAGCCAUAGCAGGGACAAUGCUGGAUCCUUAACUGCUAGGCCACCAGGAAACUCCAAAAGAAUUCAUUCACUUUUGACUCUGGAAAGCAGGGCAGCUUCUCGAAGCAGAUGGCACAUGAACUAGGAAUCAGGUUUUGAGAGUUGGAACAGUUAGAAGAGGGUAUAUAGUGGGGAGGAAGGAGCAGAUGGGGAUUUUAGACUGAGGAAAAGCAAGAACAUAAUAAGCACAGGAUCAUAAAGUGUAACAGAAUCAUUCAAAUGGCAAAAAUCAUGCAUUUUAAUGUCAGAGAACAAGGAUGGAAGGUUCACCAUUAAAAAACAAUUCGUACGCAAUUCACUUGAUGAAUCUGACCUUAUGUCUCAUAAGCCAAUAAAAAUCCAGACUUAUGAAACAGAUACAGAGAUUUUCGGUUAAACAAUAAAAGGAAAAUGAAAUGAGCAUCAAAUCAACCACUCCCUGUAAAUGGGCUACGAACAUCCUCAAGUCCUAGAAGUCUCAACGUAAUAGACGAAAGCUCCUUGCUCUACUUCAGAUGCAUCAAAACCAUGCAUCAGAUAACACUGUUCUGCUCAGUGAUGGGCAACAGAUUUCCCCUUGAUGCCUCUGCCUCAAACAUGAGGACUUUAGAGAGCCACUGGAUUUAAAGGUCAAGUUCGUCCCCCUACUCCACUUACAAGUCACUACAAGUGAACAUUAUACAUUUACCAUUGGUACUGGCAACACUUAAUAAGGUUAUUGAGUGCUUUGUGGGAACACAGGCUUUUGCAUGGUUAUGAGAAUGGUAAUGAAAUCUAAUCUACUGCCCCAUUACACACAUUAUUCUUAGCCACAAUAACAGUGUUCCGUUUAAGCUUUAGGACUGUAUUUAAAUAGAUGGUUUAGGAAACAAUAAAGCCUAAAAGAAUACUGUAGGUGUAUUCCAAAUUUAGAGCGAGCAGGAAACAUCAGGAGAAUUUUUAUCAACUCCAUCAAACAAUCCACAACACUCUGAGCCAACAACACAAAGAGGCCAAGAAAACAGGGGACGGGAGCCUUUUCUCUCCUUAUUGGAGAGUCAGAGAGCUAAUAAAAAUAUUAAUCAAAAGACAUAUAAAAAGACUUUUAAUUAUAGUUUGGCAGGAAGUUGUUUUUUGGUUUUUUUUAAGGAAACAUUUAAUGUAUGCUAGUUAUACUGCAUAAACACCGGACCCAAGGGAUCCACUACAUAUCAUGACUCAUUAAAGUAAUAAGACACAAGGGAUCCACCACGUAUGAUAACUCAUUAAAGGAACAAGAUGCAAGGGGUUCACCACAUAUCAUGACUCCUUAAAGGAGCAAGACCCAAGGCGUCCACCACACACUGUGACUCGUUUAUUUUAAGGGAGCAAGAAAAGAAGAAUGGGAAUGAGGUACACACCCAGAGAAAGACAUAAAACACCAAAGAAGAAGAAAUAAGAGGAAAGCACCUACAAUCAAACACACAUGAACACAGAAUGGCAUUCAAAUUUCAUGAUCUCGCCAAACAUUUUUACUGAGGAUUAUAAAUAUGUUUUAUUUUAAGGAACACAUACAUCAUCUGCCCCAAGGGGCAUGUGAAAUUCUGCUGAGAGAUGAAUAUAGUGCAGUUGCUCUCCCAACUAAAGCCCAUGACAACAUUAGAGCCCCUACAAGAAGGACAGAACUCGUAUUUUUGCAAAAAUGAAUAUUCCUCUUAUUAAAAUGCUUGGAAGUUAUCAAAAUGUUAAAAGUUAAUUGCUGCUUGGAGUUCCUGCUGUGACGCAGCAGAAACAAAUCCGACUAGGAACCAUGAGGUUGUGAAUUCAAUCCCUGGCCUCGCUCAGAGGGUUAAGGAUCCGGUGUUGCCAUGAGCUAUGAAGUAGGUCCCAGAUGAGGCUUGGAUCUGGUGUUGCUGUGGCUGUGGUGUAGGCCGGUGGCUACAGCUCCAAUUAAACUCCUAGCCUGGGAACCUCCAUAUGUCGCGGCUACUGCCCUAUAAAGAAAAAAAAAAAAAAAAAGUAAUUGCUGCUUGUCCUCAUGAGAAUGAUACAAUACUUGUUGACAGAGGUCUAGGAGGUGACUUUAAUUUGUGAAAUGCUACCACAUAUUUCCACCAUCCUAACUCCACUUAGAGUUUUAGGUUUAGAGAAUGAAAUGGCAAUUGUUUAUAAGAUCCUGGUAAAAUAUUACGUCAAGGUGGAUUCUUUUUUCUGGUCUGAGAGUUGGGACUGGUUGUGGUUUCUCACGUUAGAAGGAGUAGGAGAUGCAGGAUGAACAUCUUCCCAGAACUCAGUAUAAAUUCAAACUUGGCAAUGAGGAGGCCCUGAGGGCACAUGAUUGUCUGCAUGUUCUCUACAAACUGGUUCCCCUUCCCAGGUUGCUAUUGUGGGGCCUGUAACACCUGAGUCCUGGGAGUCUUUCAAGUACUCAGGCAGUCAGCUUCCCAGAUGUUAAAAUGGUACAGGGCCCUGUCACUGCUUUUUAGGUGGAGUGAGAAGAUGCUGGCACCAAGAAGGGCUGGCACCACUUAAAGACAUUAAGCAGCACGAGUGGCAGGAGCACUAGGGCCCAGACAGGAACAGGGGCUACCGGGACCAGCACUCUCCAAAGACCAAGGCCUGACUGCUUCUGUAUCACUGGUUAACAUAAACAAAGCUUUCCAUAUGAACCACAUUCAUGUGGCGGGGGAAGCAACUAACUCCACCAGUCAAGGGCCAGAAAGUAAGUCUUUUUGGCUGUGUGGGCCAAAGAGUCCAAAGCAGCCACAAACAGUGAUUCACCAGGGUGGCUAUGUGGCAGUAACACUUUAUUCGUAAAAAUAAAGGCUGAGGCUGAGGGUUUGGUGUGCACUUCAUGACUCUCCCACGAUAUUUUUCUGGUAACAUUCUUAAAUCCCUGUUUUGGGGGACUGUGAGUCCCAGCAGCUUCUGUAUCGUUUGGGUGCAAUGAUAACCCCGCCACCCACAGCAUUUCUUGAGCACCUGCUGUAGACCAGGCACAGCACUAAUUAGUUUCCACAGAGUUCACAGGAUCCUCAACACCUCCAGGUACCAUCAUCCCUAUUUCCAGAUACAAAUAUCUCAGCAGCUUUAAAUGGUGGAGUGACGAAUCCAAGGUCUCUGAGACUCUGACCUUUAGCAGCUAUCCACUGGCUUCUAACUGCGGAGCUCACCACAAACGACAGGAAGCUGGUAAAAAUGGCAAUGGCUGGACCCACCUUUAAAGGUUCUGAUUUAGUCCUGUGGAGUUAGGUCCAGGACUCUGCAUUUUAACACAUACUUCUGAAAAGUCUGGUGCAAAAGGUUAGAGGAAUAAAUAUGGAGAAAUACAGCAAUCUCAUGCAUUUUCCAAUCAAAAAAAAAAAAAAAAA
ensembl:lncRNA